CAGUAGCCGCGGGAAUACGGAGGGUGCAAGCGUUAUCCGGAUUCACUGGGUUUAAAGGGUGCGUAGGCGGAUCUGUAAGUCAGUGGUGAAAUCUCCAGGCUUAACCUGGAAACUGCCGUUGAUACUAUAGGUCUUGAAUUUUGUGGAGGUUAGCGGAAUAUGUCAUGUAGCGGUGAAAUGCAUAGAUAUGACAUAGAACACCAAUUGCGAAGGCAGCUGGUUACACAACUAUUGACGCUGAGGCACGAAAGCGUGGGGAUCAAACAGGAUUAGAUACCCCCGUAGUCCCUGUCUCUUAUAC
rnacentral:rRNA from 1 species